GCCUGAUUAGCAUAAAAGUAAUGCAACCGUUUUGUAAUCGGUAGAAGUAAGUGCAAUACUUGCAUUGGGCU
rnacentral:tRNA from 1 species